UACGGAGGGUGCGAGCGUUGUCCGGAAUCACUGGGCGUAAAGGGCGCGUAGGCGGCUUGAUAAGCGUGCGGUGAAAGCCCGGGGCUCAACCCCGGGUCGGCCGUGCGAACUGUCGAGCUGGAGCACUGUAGAGGCAGGUGGAAUUCCGGGUGUAGCGGUGGAAUGCGUAGAGAUCCGGAAGAACACCGGUGGCGAAGGCGGCCUGCUGGGCAGUGGCUGACGCUGAGGCGCGACAGCGUGGGGAGCAAACAGG
rnacentral:rRNA from 1 species